CUCUGUACCUAAAGGAAAGAGAGCUCCUCUGCGUUCCCAUCAUGCUCUGGGCCUGCCUCUUCCUCACCUAUUUCUCAGGAUCUUUGGCCCAGUAUGUGUUGACGCAGCCCCCAUCAGUGUCCGUGUCUCCGGGACGAGAUGUCCAAAUGACUUGUUCCGGGAGCAACAUUGGUGGGAAGAGUGUGCACUGGUACCAGCAGAAACCCAGCCAGGCCCCUGUACUGUUAAUAUAUGCAGACAGUACGAGGCCCGUUGGAAUCUCGGACCGAUUCUCUGGCACCAACUCCGGCAACACAGCCAUACUGAGCAUUGCCAAAGCCCGAGCAGAGGAUGAGGCCGAUUAUUACUGCCAGGUGUGGGACAGCAGCACAGCUCACAGUGACACAGGCAGAUGGGGAAGUGCGACAAAAACCUCUUGGUGAAAAAGGCAGCUGCUAUCAUACUCUGUCUUCAGAGGAGGGACUUUUCACUGGAAUUGAGUUUUCAUUUUUAAAAAAGCUGAUUCCUACUGCCUUGCAAUGGCCAACCUGUGACCCCCACUUUGCCUUCAGUUGCAUUUAUUUUAUUGCUACCUUUACUGCCUUGAUUCAUGAGGGAAUGUGAGUUAAGGGGAUUCACUGAGGAAGAUAACUUAGCCUAGGCCGCGGGAGCACAGCUGGA